rnacentral:snRNA from 1 species
AUACUUACCUGGCAGGGGAGAUACCAUGAUCACGAAGGUGGUUUUCUCAGGGGGAGGACUAUCCAUUGCACUCCGGAUGUGCUGACCCCUGCGAUUUCCCCAAAUGUGGGAAACUCGACUGCAUAAUUUGUGGUAGUGGGGGGCUGCGUUCGCACUCUCCAU